rnacentral:sRNA from 1 species
ACCUACCUAGUUCAACUGUUUCUAAACCUAUCUAGUUCAACUGUUUCUAAACCUAUCUAGUUCAAUUGUUUUUAAACCUACCUAGUUCAACUGUUUCUAAACCUAUCUAGUUCAAUUGUUUUUAAACCUACCUAGUUCAACUGUUUCUAAACCUACCUAGUUCAACUGUUUCUAAAAUUACAUAGCUCAUCUGUUUUUAAAUCUACAUGUUCAAUUGUUUCUAAAUUUACCUAGUUUAACUGUUUCUAAACCUACAUAGUUCAACUGUUUGUCAUGAUUUUUAUUCAGAAAGAAAUUUUUGUUUUUUCUUUACACUUGUCUAUUUAGAAAUUUUUCUCCAUUAAGUGAAAACAGCCAGUCAUCAACAGAUACAGCCCUUUCAUCUAAUGAUGCCACAACACCAACACAUAACCACAAUGAGAAAGGCAAAGUGGAAGGGGAAGAUUGUGUUGAAAAUGGACCUCCACCGCUAACCUCAAUGUUAAACAAUAUCCCAGCUUCCCCUGCCGUCAGUCACACAGGAAGUCUUUCAGAAGCAUCUCCCAGAAAACGAGCAAGAAAGCAACUCUUAGAGAAUGAAGACAAUGAGCUAGUAGUCAG